GACGAACGCUGGCGGCGUGCUUAACACAUGCAAGUCGAACGGAAAGGCCCUGCUUUUGUGGGGUGCUCGAGUGGCGAACGGGUGAGUAACACGUGAGUAACCUGCCCUUGACUUUGGGAUAACUUCAGGAAACUGGGGCUAAUACCGGAUAGGAGCUCCUGCUGCAUGGUGGGGGUUGGAAAGUUUCGGCGGUUGGGGAUGGACUCGCGGCUUAUCAGCUUGUUGGUGGGGUAGUGGCUUACCAAGGCUUUGACGGGUAGCCGGCCUGAGAGGGUGACCGGCCACAUGGGGACUGGGAUACGGCCCAGACUCCUCGGGGGGGCAGCAGUGGGGAAUAUUGCACAAUGGGCGGAAGCCGGAUGCAGCAACGCCGCGGGCGGGAUGACGGCCUUCGAGUUGUAAACCGCUUUCCCCUGUGACGAAGGGGGAGUGACGGUAAUGGGGAAAGAAGCCCCGGCUAACUACGU
rnacentral:rRNA from 1 species